UCCAUUAAACAAACUUACAUAAGCUGCCAUUCAUCUUUGCCUUUUCUAUACUAAAAAGACAUAAAAGAGAAGGACGAGGAAGGCGACCAGGCUGGAAAAAGAGGAGCGAGGCAACACCGAAGAAGAAGGGGUUGUAGAGAGAAGUCCAUAAAAAUCGGUGAAGAGAGAGGGACAAGGGAGGCGACCAUGCUGUAAAAAGAGGGGCGAGACAGCACCAAAGAAGAAAAAAGGCUGCUUAGAGAAGUCCACAAAUCAGUGGUGAUUAUCGGUCUUUCCCUUUUGAAAUCAAGAGGUUGUUGGAGUGCAUUGGUGAUAAAAAUGUGGAAUCUUGAUGUCUGGGUUGGUGUAGUGAGGAUUUCGAGAGAGGGAACCUCUAUUGAGUGAAACUUUGGGAAGUGAUAAUGGAGGAGGAAGAGGAGGAGGAGGAUCAUUCAGCUCUGAUGGGCUUUUGGUAGGGUUAGUUAGAUAAUUGUAUUGUGCUAGUGAUGGAGUGGAGGGCUGCUGGUGGUGGUAGUGAUGGAAUAGGAGCAGUGGAGGAGAAAAUAAGAGAAGAUUGAUGGAAGAGAGAGGAUGAACACAGAGAUGCAGAAUGAUGUGUAAAAGAAGCACUUUGGGCUUCUCGAUCUAUGAUUUUUCAUUUCAUCUACUUUUUUUUUUUUUAUAGUAAAACCAGAUCGAUGGAAGAGAAAAAGGAUGAGCACAGAGUUGUAGAGAGAAUAACAUUCAGAAUUAGCACUUUGGGCUUCUGGAUCUGCAGUUUUUAGUUCGAUUUUGAUGACAGAGGAAUGUUUUGACCAGAUAAUUUUCUUCUCAUUAUUUGAUGUUGCUCUGUCUGAUGUCUUUUUUCUUUGGAUGCUGUCUUUUUACUUUCACCUCAGAUCGUGUUUUGUUGCAUUUUGUUGUUCUUUACACCUAUUGUUUGAUUAUACCUGUUACUGCACUUGUGCUCAUUAUUUUUUCUAUCCAUGUGCCACUUUUGCCCUCUUUUCAUCAUUUGAUUUUGCUGUGAAUAGAUUGUGAUCCAUAAGCUUAGGUUUUUUUCAUUUGUUGGAGGGAGAAAAAGGGUGAGGUUUGUUGAGAAUGAAUGAGAGGAAGAGGAGGAGAGCGUGCCAGAAGAUGAAUUAGGUGAGUAAGUGAAGUGGAAGGGAGAUAGACUAUGCCAAGUGUUUAUGUUGGUUCCAGAUGGUUGGUGCUUUGGCUGAUGCUGAUGACAUGUCUAUGUCUGGUAUAGUCUAUUUUUUGUGGGUCUUCUCACGGAAUUGGCAUAUGUCUCUCUCUCUCUCUCUCUCUUUUCUCUGUGUCCUUUUCUCUAGCCAUUGUUGCCUGUUUUGGUUCUUAUUUGGCAAUCUCUGCAUUUUUACUGGUUUUUCCCAUCUAUUGCGCUUUAGUUUUUCCCUGCUUGGUCUAUGGAUUUUUUUACUGUUUUCAUUGUGGUGUGCAAGUUGUUUUGCCCUUCUUUCUAGGGUCUAUGGUCUGUGUUUGAGGGGGUUUUGAAUCCUUUUUUACCCUCUACUCAUCUAUGUUCUCUGCCAGCUUCGAGUCAUUCUCUAUUGCUGAGCUUCUUAUUCACCAUGAAUGUCGUCUGCCCCUUUUCCUGGAUAAAACAAAGGAGGAGGAAAGCCCAGGAUUUUACAUGUAUUGUUGAUCUCGUAUUGUGAUCUUGAAUAUCUCUGAUUUUAUGUUCUCCUUUCACCUCAAUUUUGUAUGUAUUGUUGAUAUUGAGAAUGUAUUACGAUCUUGAAUAUCAAUGAUUUUGUGUUCUCUAUUUA